rnacentral:rRNA from 1 species
UACGGAGGGGGCUAGCGUUGUUCGGAAUUACUGGGCGUAAAGCGCACGUAGGUGGCUUUGUAAGUUAGAGGUGAAAGCCCGAAGCUCAACUUCGGAAUUGCCUUUAAAACUGCAAAGCUAGAAUCAUGGAGAGGUUAGUGGAAUUCCGAGUGUAGAGGUGAAAUUCGUAGAUAUUCGGAAGAACACCAGUGGCGAAGGCGACUAACUGGACAUGUAUUGACGCUGAGGUGCGAAAGCGUGGGGAGCAAACAGG